GAUGAACGCUGGCGGCGUGCCUAAUACAUGCAAGUCGAGCGAACAGACGAGGAGCUUGCUCCUCUGACGUUAGCGGCGGACGGGUGAGUAACACGUGGAUAACCUACCUAUAAGACUGGGAUAACUUCGGGAAACCGGAGCUAAUACCGGAUAAUAUAUUGAACCGCAUGGUUCAAUAGUGAAAGACGGUUUUGCUGUCACUUAUAGAUGGAUCCGCGCCGCAUUAGCUAGUUGGUAAGGUAACGGCUUACCAAGGCAACGAUGCGUAGCCGACCUGAGAGGGUGAUCGGCCACACUGGAACUGAGACACGGUCCAGCCUCCUACGGGAGGCACCAGUAGGGAAUCUUCCGCAAUGGGCGAAAGCCUGACGGAGCAACGCGGCGUGAGUGAUGAAGGUCUUCGGAUCGUAAAACUCUGUUAUUAGGGAAGAACAAAUGUGUAAGUAACUAUGCACGUCUUGACGGUACCUGAUCAGAAAGCCACGGCUAACUACGUG
rnacentral:rRNA from 1 species